AUAUCCCUGCUUUACUCGUGAUAGUAUAUUUUGCUGAACCAACACUAUGAGUUAGGGAACUUGAAUUGACACUAUUAGCAAAAUUCCAAUAAGGAAUUGUCGUGAAAGUGCCUUAUGGUUCCCACCUUUAACAAAGGGCUCAGGCAAAUAAUACACACGGUACGGCGGGGAUUUU
rfam:Candidate division TA06 bacterium 34_109 MPJ_scaffold_15, whole genome shotgun sequence.